GCUGGUAAUCAUAGCGCUGAGGUACCACCUGACCCCAUUCCGAACUCAGAAGUGAAACUCAGUAGCGCCGAUGGUAGUGUGGGGUUCCCCAUGUGAGAGUAGGACAUUACCAGCU
rnacentral:rRNA from 1 species